GAUGAAGAACGCAGCGAAAUGCGAUAAUUAAUGUGAAUUGCAGAAUUCCGUGAAUCAUCGAGUCUUUGAACGCACAUUGCGCCCCCUGGUAUUCCGGGGGGCAUGCCUGUCCGAGCGUCAUUGCUGCCCUCAAGCACGGCUUGUGUGUUGGGCCCCGUCCUCCGAUUCCGGGGGACGGGCCCGAAAGGCAGCGGCGGCACCGCGUCCGGUCCUCGAGCGUAUGGGGCUUUGUCACCCGCUCUGUAGGCCCGGCCGGCGCUUGCCGAUCAACCCAAAUUUUUAUCCAGGUUGACCUCGGAUCAGGUAGGGAUACCCGCUGAACUUAAGCAUAUCAAUAAGCGGAGGA
rnacentral:misc_RNA from 1 species